GGUCAAGAACUAAGCGUUAAGCCCUGUAGCUUGCUUAGUACCAACCGCGCCUACUGCGCACGGUGGUUCUAGAGGAAGACCUGCUGAUGAUGAAAGACACCAUCAGAUGAGCAGGAG
rnacentral:ncRNA from 2 species